GGGGUCAAUGAGCAAUGCAGUCUCCCUAUAAGUAACAAGGCCCCAGUUCUCCAUGGCACCAGCAGCAAAAUCUGCAAUAGCUAUGAGAUCAAUUUUAGGAAGAGGGUAAGGAACAUUGAAGUAGUCCUUAUAAAAAGGCAGAGUUUUAGCAGCAACCUCUAAUGCAAACUUUCCUUGCUCAGCUUUGCCCACAGGAGUGUAAACACGCACUAAGACACCAUCUAGGGACCUGGUCUCUACAAAGUCAUAUUCUCC
rnacentral:lncRNA from 1 species